rnacentral:rRNA from 1 species
GAAAGGCGCUUUUGCGUCACUGAUGGAUGGACCCGCGGUGCAUUAGCUAGUUGGUGAGGUAACGGCUCACCAAGGCCACGAUGCAUAGCCGACCUGAGAGGGUGAUCGGCCACACUGGGACUGAGACACGGCCCAGACUCCUACGGGAGGCAGCAGUAGGGAAUCUUCGGCAAUGGACGAAGGUCUGACCGAGCAACGCCGCGUGAGUGAAGAAGGUUUUCGGAUCGUAAAACUCUGUUGUUAGAGAAGAACAAGGAUGAGAGUAGAACGUUCAUCCCUUGACGGUAUCUAACCAGAAAGCCACGGCUAACUACGUGCCAGCAGCCGCGGUAAUACGUAGGUGGCAAGCGUUGUCCGGAUUUAUUGGGCGUAAAGCGAGCGCAGGCGGUUUCUUAAGUCUGAUGUGAAAGCCCCCGGCUCAACCGGGGAAGGUCAUUGGAAACUGGGAGACUUGAGUGCAGAAGAGGAGAGUGGAAUUCCAUGUGUAGCGGUGAAAUGCGUAGAUAUAUGGAGGAACACCAGUGGCGAAGGCGGCUCUCUGGUCUGUAACUGACGCUGAGGCUCGAAAGCGUGGGGAGCGAACAGGAUUAGAUACCCUGGUAGUCCACGCCGUAAACGAUGAGUGCUAAGUGUUGGAGGGUUUCCGCCCUUCA